GGAUGUAGCUUAUCUGGUAGAGCGUUAAUUUUUGCAUGAUAAAGGCACAAGUUAAACUCCUGUCAUCUCCA
rnacentral:tRNA from 1 species